GCGGCGGUAUCAAAGUCUGGUCAAAUGAGAUAGACUCAAGAUCUAUUCCCUUAGUGGGUUCGCAGGUUCGAAUCCUGCCCGCCGCA
rnacentral:tRNA from 1 species